GAUGAACGCUGACAGAAUGCUUAACACAUGCAAGUCGACUUAAACUUCGGUUUGGGUGGCGGACGGGUGAGUAACGCGUAAAGAACUUGCCUCACAGAUAGGGACAACAUUUGGAAACGAAUGCUAAUACCUGAUAUUAUGAUUUUAGGGCAUCCUAGGAUUAUGAAAGCUAUAUGCGCUGUGAGAGAGCUUUGCGUCCCAUUAGCUAGUUGGAGAGGUAACGGCUCACCAAGGCGAUGAUGGGUAGCCGGCCUGAGAGGGUGAUCGGCCACAAGGGGACUGAGACACGGCCCUUACUCCUACGGGAGGCAGCAGUGGGGAAUAUUGGACAAUGGACCAAGAGUCUGAUCCAGCAAUUCUGUGUGCACGAUGAAGUUUUUCGGAAUGUAAAGUGCUUUCAGUUGGGAAGAAAAAAAUGACGGUACCAACAGAAGAAGUGACGGCUAAAUACGUGCCAGCAGCCGCGGUAAUACGUAUGUCACAAGCGUUAUCCGGAUUUAUUGGGCGUAAAGCGCGUCUAGGUGGUUAUAUAAGUCUGAUGUGAAAAUGCAGGGCUCAACUCUGUAUUGCGUUGGAAACUGUGUAACUAGAGUACUGGAGAGGUAAGCGGAACUACAAGUGUAGAGGUGAAAUUCGUAGAUAUUUGUAGGAAUGCCGAUGGGGAAGCCAGCUUACUGGACAGAUACUGACGCUGAAGCGCGAAAGCGUGGGUAGCAAACAGG
rnacentral:rRNA from 1 species